rnacentral:rRNA from 1 species
UACGGGGGGUGCGAGCGUUGUCCGGAAUCACUGGGCGUAAAGGGCGCGUAGGUGGCCUGAUAAGGGUGUGGUGAAAGUCCGGGGCUCAACCCCGGAUCGGCCGUGCCGACUGUUAGGCUAGAGUACUGUAGGGGCAGGCGGAAUUCCGGGUGUAGCGGUGGAAUGCGUAGAGAUCCGGAGGAACACCGGUGGCGAAGGCGGCGUUCUGGACUGUUUCUGACACUGAAAAACGAAAGCCAGGGGAGCAAACGGG